GUGGCCAGUUUAGGGCCCUAGGGGGCAGUUGGGGGGAGAUGGCUGGCUUAGAUGAGACUCGAGGGGGUUGGAGGAUGAGGAUGAGAAAGGUUGAAGAGGAAACUAGAUCUUGGGGCACCUAUGGUGGGGAGAGUUGCCUUGAAAGUCCCCGCAGUGACCUAGGGGAGGACAGCCCUUUAAGCCAAGCUGUCGCUGCCUUCUGGAGAACGGGAACUUGACCUUUAGGAGGGCACUCACUGCUCCUGCGUGGGCUCAGCGAGCCCCUGUGCCCUGGCUUGUGUGGGAGGAGGAAAGCAGAAGCCGGAGGAGAACAGGAUCUCAGCCCCCUUGUUCGAGAGGAAGCUGAAUUGGAGGGUUGCCAACCCACGUGGGGAUGAGGCCUGGUCUUGUGGAUACUGAACUUAGCUCCGCGGGCCUGAGCGCUCUGGCCCAGGGUGGUAUGUAAUUGUGGUUCGGCCUGGGACAGGGUCCAGGCCAUGCCCAGCCAGGUGAAACCCAGGUCUGGGUGUGAGGUCAGACCCCUUGUCGGAGGUGAGGGUGGCCUCAGUGAUUGAAGAGGUAGGGUGCCAUCCACGUGAUCGAUGGCACUAUGCCUGCCAGGCUGGGGCUCCUAAGGCAGGAAUGUGUGGCUGGGGACAAAAUUGACCCACGCUUUAUUUUCCAGGUGGCAGUGCCCCCCUUUGGACUUUUCCUCUAGGUUCGGUGCUAACUUCUGUGAGCUCACUCUGCCCUUCCUCCUCCCUUUAACUCUCUCGAGGUUAUCCAUUCGCUUAAAACAUUGCUUCUGGUAACCUGGUAAGCCUGGGCACUUGGCAAAGGCCUUGAGAAGUUCGGUGAUGGCGGUAAUCGAGGAGGAGAGGCACUUCCUGCUGAGGCUCCGGUGGGGUGGGGUGGGCUUGCUUGCCUGCGGAGAGGGUGGGGCCUGAAUGUGUACCCUUGGGGGGGGGCCUGCGACGAUGGCACCAGCAGAGAGUCACGAGAUGCCUCAUGGACGGUGGUUUGUUACCAUAGCGCUCCUCGCGGGGAUCAGAUGGCACCAGGAGAAACGGAGCCCAUGGCCAGUGUGAGUCGUAGCAGUGCAGGAGGGGAGACCCCGAAGGAGCAACCCGCCUAAGUUGAUGUCUGCAGAUUGAAUUUCCAGAGGCUUAGGAGGUGGAAGUUGCUACAGUGUCCUGUUUCCAGGCCUUGCUCGGGAAGCCCUGUGUUCCGGGGGGCCACCAUUUAAGGUUUUCAGAUGAGCUCAUGAGGGGGGCACUCAAAGUCCAAAGCAGAUGCAUCGGGCCCUCGGCAGAUCUGUUGCUUUGAAUGUUUGAUCCCGGAGCAGCAACCCCCAGGCACGUGAAUGCCAGCAGGCACCUCUCCUUUUCUGCGGGUGGAGGUUUUUCGAUGCCGCAUCUUCUAAUUUUGAGCCUUCGGUCAUUGCUAGUUCUGGGCUACGAACCUUGCUUCAAGACGAUUCUUAAGCUGUAGGACAUUGUAACCCGUGCCACAAUGCCUUGUGGGUGAAUCUUGCAGACGGAGCCCAGUGACUCGCUCACCCACCCACGCCUGCCUGCCUGCCUGCCUGCCUUGGAGGAAUUAGUGUGAUGGGCUAACUUGUCUGGGGAAAGUGUUGGCCUUGAAGCGCCUUGGGCAAAGGCUUGAAUGAAGCCUACUGGCAGAAUGAUGGGGGGGGGGUCAUUGUGUUAAUGCUACAGUCUGGGGGUGGGGAGGGUCCCAGUGGGUUGUGGCCAAAUUCUGUUAGAAAUGGCAGGUGUUUGGGCCUUUCGAUGGCAUCACUGAUAACUGAGGGGACUGGUUGGGGUACUACUAGCAAUCUUUGAUUCUUCUAUGUGUUUUUUUUUAAUGUGAGUUUUGUUUGCUUUAAUUGCGAAGUAAUCUUCAAGUGGGAGGACUCAUUUGAGGGGUGAGGGUUGGCGGGCAUUGGUACUGACAGGGGUGAGAGUUGGGGUGGUACACGGGGGUGGCAUUGGCACUGGCAGGGGUGAGGGUGAGGAAAGGGAGAGAGUUGGGUUGCUAAGGUAUCUGUUGCUAAGGGUGGGGGUGGCAGGGAAUGUGGGUUGGAAGGGAAUUUGGGUGAAAAGGCAGGUGAAACUCUGGGGAAUGUAAUAGACUCAUGGGCAAAGAAGAUACUAGUUAAUGCCACUAAAUUGUUAGUGCUGGUUAAAUUGUCUCUUGGAAAGCACAGAGACUUGCUUCAGUACGUUAAAAAAGAAAUCUUUAGAAAUCUACUGAACGCAGAAGCGCAGAAUUGUUUUGCCUUGCUGCAGGGUGGGGACGAGGGAAAUGGAAAUGAACGUGAACCCCAGUCUGGUGAAAGCUGGGGGACAGGGGCCCCCAUCAGCAGAGUGCUAACUAGCCUCUGCUGCUCCUGGAGCUUCUUCCGUGGUUUAUAAACGUGUGUGCGUACUGGGGAGCCAGGAGUCUUUAAAAAGAAAGACUUCAAACGUGCAAAUUGGCAGCUCGUCAAGUAUUUAAGUUUAAAAUUUUGGUGUGCGCUUGAUUAGAUGUACUCGUAGGGGUUGGAAUGUUUCUAUUUACUGAGAUUUGCGAUAGAAAAUUCUGAGCAAAGUGAACAUGCAAUGUUUUUCAUAGGAGUUUUAUGUUUCAAACCCAUGUCUUGUCAUUGUGGUCUAUGUUCAUAGCAGUAAAAUUGUUUGCCAUUAGCUUUUGUAACAAAGAAUAACCUUUUUAUGGUCCCUGUAAAAUUUCUGUAACAUACUAGCAAAUGAUCCAGGUAGCCUUGCAAAGGUCAAAGUGAAUCGAUAUGUCUUAAGUGUGAACAUUCGUGCUUUUCAGAUUGAUCCAGUACUUGGGCAGCUCUCAGCCAAAAUCAGUUUGAGGAAUAAAUACGCAAAAUGGGGGGCGGGCUUUACUAGAUAUGGUCUGAUGUUAAAAAGUCAGGGGAAGAUGUGAAAGCUGUUUAUGAUACUCAUUUCUGAGAUGCAUCUAUUGCGUUGGUGAAGUAAUCCCAAUACCUUUCUAUCCCGUGCCUCUAACCGUAAAUUUCACUUAAAUUUAAGAUCCUCAAUACUUUUUAUCUCUGGGAUUCUUUUUUCAUGUUUAAAACUACGUUGGCAUAGUUCAGCUUUCCAGCGUGAUGGGGUAUGAUGUAAUUGCUGCCCUCGGAAUUUUAAGAAUAGUAAUCACACAUGAAUGGGGAAACGUGGGUGCGGAUGCCAUUGUGAAAUGGAGGCUGUUACACUGGGUGGUUCCAUGUUGCUCUGUGCUAAGAACUAGUCUGUUGCAUCAUGUAAUUAGUGAUUACUAACCAUUUUUUUUACAGCACAAAUAAAGGUUUGAGUUCUAAAACUUUUUAA